rnacentral:rRNA from 1 species
AGCUGCGGCAGCGACACUGUGUGUUGUUGGGUAGGGGAGCGUUCUGUAAGCCUGUGAAGGUGUGUCGUGAGGCAUGCUGGAGGUAUCAGAAGUGCGAAUGCUGACAUAAGUAACGAUAAAGCGGGUGAAAAGCCCGCUCGCCGGAAGACCAAGGGUUCCUGUCCAACGUUAAUCGGGGCAGGGUGAGUCGACCCCUAAGGCGAGGCCGAAAGGCGUAGUCGAUGGGAAACGGGUUAAUAUUCCCGUACUUGGUGUUACUGCGAAGGGGGGACGGAGAAGGCUAUGUUGGCCGGGCGACGGUUGUCCCGGUUUAAGCGUGUAGGUGUGUGUUCCAGGUAAAUCCGGUUCACUUUAACACUGAGGCGUGACGACGAGGCACUACGGUGCUGAAGCAACAAAUGCCCUGCUUCCAGGAAAAGCCUCUAAGCAUCAGGUAACAUCAAAUCGUACCCCAAACCGACACAGGUGGUCAGGUAGAGAAUACCAAGGCGCUUGAGAGAACUCGGGUGAAGGAACUAGGCAAAAUGGUGCCGUAACUUCGGGAGAAGGCACGCUGACACGUAGGUGAAGUGAUUUACUCAUGGAGCUGAAGUCAGUCGAAGAUACCAGCUGGCUGCAACUGUUUAUUAAAAACACAGCACUGUGCAAACACGAAAGUGGACGUAUACGGUGUGACGCCUGCCCGGUGCCGGAAGGUUAAUUGAUGGGGUCAGCGCAAGCGAAGCUCCUGAUCGAAGCCCCGGUAAACGGCGGCCGUAACUAUAACGGUCCUAAGGUAGCGAAAUUCCUUGUCGGGUAAGUUCCGACCUGCACGAAUGGCGUAAUGAUGGCCAGGCUGUCUCCACCCGAGACUCAGUGAAAUUGAACUCGCUGUGAAGAUGCAGUGUACCCGCGGCAAGACGGAAAGACCCCGUGAACCUUUACUAUAGCUUGACACUGAACAUUGAGCCUUGAUGUGUAGGAUAGGUGGGAGGCUUUGAAGUGUGGACGCCAGUCUGCAUGGAGCCGACCUUGAAAUACCACCCUUUAAUGUUUGAUGUUCUAACGUGGACCCGUUACCCGGGUUGCGGACAGUGUCUGGUGGGUAGUUUGACUGGGGCGGUCUCCUCCUAAAGAGUAACGGAGGAGCACGAAGGUUGGCUAAUCCUGGUCGGACAUCAGGAGGUUAGUGCAAUGGCAUAAGCCAGCUUGACUGCGAGCGUGACGGCGCGAGCAGGUGCGAAAGCAGGUCAUAGUGAUCCGGUGGUUCUGAAUGGAAGGGCCAUCGCUCAACGGAUAAAAGGUACUCCGGGGAUAACAGGCUGAUACCGCCCAAGAGUUCAUAUCGACGGCGGUGUUUGGCACCUCGAUGUCGGCUCAUCACAUCCUGGGGCUGAAGUAGGUCCCAAGGGUAUGGCUGUUCGCCAUUUAAAGUGGUACGCGAGCUGGGUUUAGAACGUCGUGAGACAGUUCGGUCCCUAUCUGCCGUGGGCGCUGGAGAACUGAGGGGGGCUGCUCCUAGUACGAGAGGACCGGAGUGGACGCAUCACUGGUGUUCGGGUUGUCAUGCCAAUGGCACUGCCCGGUAGCUAAAUGCGGAAGAGAUAAGUGCUGAAAGCAUCUAAGCACGAAACUUGCCCCGAG